rnacentral:lncRNA from 1 species
ACUGGCCCCUGAUAGCCAUUCUUUAUGGCAUACACUUAUGUGAAGAGCCUUAUAUAAAGAUAUUUCCAAACAGAUACAAGCAAUCUAGUUUCACCACAUUGUUAUUUGAGUAAAUAUAUCUUAUAUUCUGUCAUGGCUAUAGUGAAUGUUUUAUAAGUCUUACAUGAAGAUGUUCCUCAACAGCUACCUGCAAGGUGGAUUCAGCACAGCGUUCUUUAAUUUUAGGAAAGUGAUGUCUGAGUAUUAGCCAUUCUGUAUGGCAUAUACUGAAAGUAGAAAGGCCUUAUCUGAAGAUGUUGCCAAUCAGCUACAAGAAAGCUGGUUUCACAAUAGUGUUUUUCAUUGAAUGAAUGGAUAUUGUGUCAUGCCUGCAGUGACGUGUAUGAUAAGUCUUUCAUGAAAAUGUUCCUAAACAGCUACCUAUGAUGUUCUUUCAUUGUAUGAAAGUGGUAGCUGUUCAGUAUGAUAUACCCAAAUUCUUGAAAUGACUUAUAUGAAGAUGUUACAUAACACCUAAAAGCAAGCUGAUUUCAAAACAGUGUUCUUUCAUUGAAUGCAGGUAAUAAAUACUCUGUUAUGCAUGAAGUGAAAUGGUCGAUGUCUUAUAUGGAAAUGUUCCUGAAAAACUAUUUGCAAGCAGAGUUCAGCACAAAAUUCUUUCAUCGUUUGAAGGUAAUAUUCAUUUGGUACGUUGCCGGGAAGCUCUAAGAGCACUGUGGAAAGCGAGUUCUUUCUCAGCUUCCAAAAGAGCUGAAAGCAAGACGGUUUGUGGCUUGUCUUAUCUUGAGGGACGGAGGGAAUGCUUUGUGCGUCCCAGCUCUACACCAAGAUUUGGGGUGGCAGACAGCAAAUGUGCCUUUUGAGAUAGGUGCUUUCUGACUGCCUCUGGACAUUUUGGUUGCUCUUUGAUGGGGAGCGCCUCCAUGAAGGAAACCAACUGCAAUCAUGCAGGAGUUCAUCCAGGCCUUGCUAAGAGCCAGAAGCAUGUGUGUUUCUCCUGCUUGUGAUCUAAUGGAGAGCAAGCAAAACACAUUUUGUCUUGGCUGUACACUGCUUUGUUAGUUGGCCUGUGACAUGGUUAGCCUCUGGCUGCUGUUUUGCCCUGCUGAGAAGGAGAGUUCUUCUAGAUGAGGGAGAUUCUCUCUGCCAGUGUACAAGGGCUCUUUGUUAAAAGCAUAUUGUUUCGCUCCUCAUAAGCAUAUGGAAGCACCAGUGUUCUGGCCUCAGCCUUGUUGCUAAAGGGCAAAAUGUAGGCAUUUCGUCUGAGCAGGGUUAGCAAGAUGGAAAUAUGGCACAAGCAGUAGCACAAUAGCCAUGAUUCAGAAUCUGAAAAGAAACUAUGUUUCUGCUGCCUUUUGAACCAGAUGUUGCCUGUACGCUGUAAGAACACUGUGGAAGGGGAGUUCUUUCUCAGUUUCCUAGAAAGCUGGAAGCAAGACAGUUUGUGGCUUGUUUUAUCUUGAGGGAUGGAUGGAAUGCUUUUGAGCGUCCCAGCUCUAUAGCAAUGAAGGGCAUGCCUGACAGCAAAUGUGCCUUUUGAGACAGGUGUUUUCUGACUGCCUGUGGACAUUUUGGUUGCUCUUUGCCGGGGAGCGAUUCCCUGAACAAAACCAAUUGCAAUAUUGCAGGAGUUCAUCCAGGUUUUGGGAAGAGCCAGAAACAAGAGAAUUUCUCCUGCUCGUGAUCUCACCCAGAGCAAGCAGGACACAUUGUUUCUUGGCUCUACACUGCUUUGUUAGGUCGCCUAGGACACGGCUUCCUUCUGGCUGAUGAUUAGCCCUGCUGGGAGGAAGUGUUAUUCUCUGUGAGGGAGAUUCUCUCUGCCACUGCACAAGUGCUGUUUGUUAAAAGCAUAUUUUAUCACUCCUCCUAAGCAUGUGGGCGCACCAACGUUCUGGCAUCGACCCCAUUCCUUGAGGGGAAGAUGUAGGCAUUUCAUUUGAGCACAGUUAGCAAGAUAGAAAUGUGCCUGAAGCAUUAGGGUGAUAGCUGUGAUUCAGAAGCUGGAAAGAAACCGCGUUUCUGCUGCCUUUUCAAUCAGAUGACUCUGUAAGAGCACUGUGGAAAGAGAGUUCUUUCUCAGCUUCCUAAAGACCUGGAAGCAAGACAAUUUGUGGCUUUUUUUUUUAUCUUGAGCGAUGGAUGGAAUGCUUGGUGCAUCCCAGCUCUAAACCAAUGUUGGGCACAGCUGACAGCAAAUGUGCCUUUCGAGAUAGGUGCUUUCUGACUACCUGUGGACAAUUCAGUUGCUCUUUGCCAGGGAUGCUUCCCUGAAGGAAAGCAACUGCAAUGCUGCAGGAGUUCAUCCAGUCUUUCCAAGAGCCAAAAGCAAGAGUGUUUCUCCUGCUUGUGAUCUCAUGGAUAGCAAGCAAGACACAACGUGUCUUGGCUCUACAGUGAUUUGUUAGGUCGCCUGUGAGAUGGUUUCCCUCCUGCUGCUGAUUUGCCCUGCUGGGAGAAAGUGUUCUUCUCUGUGAGGGAGAGGGAGAUUCUCUCUACCAAUGCACAAGGGCUGUUUGUUAAAUGCAUAUUGCUUCGCUCCUCCUAAGCAUGUGGAAGCACCAACAUUCUGGCCUUGGCCCUGUUGCCAAACAGGAAGAUGUAGGCAUUUCGUCUGAGCAGGGUUAGCAGGAUGGAAAUGUGGCACAAGCAGCAGCGUGAUAGCUGUGAUUCAGAAGCUGGAAAAAAACCACAUUUAUGCUCCCUUUUUAAUCACAUGACACUGUAAAGCACUGUGGAAAGUGAGUUCUUUCUCAGCUUCCUAAAGAGCUGGAAGCAAGACAGCUUGUGGCUUGUCUCCAAUGGAGGGCUGCAGGCAGUGCCUUGUGCCUUCCACCUCUAGAGCAAUGUAGGGCAUGGCUGAGAGCGAAGUUGCCUUUCUUCUAUAUGUGCUUUCUGACACUGUCUCCACCAAUGAACAAAGGUGAGUGGUUAAAAGGCUCUUGUCUCUCUCUUCCUAAGCAUUUGGAAAUGCAAUCCUUCAGGCCUCGGCCGUGUUGCUGAAGGGGAAGGGGUAGGCAUUUGUUGAGAGCAGGGUUGGCAAGAUGGAAGUGUGGCAGAAGCAGAAGUUCUACAGCGGUGAGAUCAGGGCUGGAAAGAAAUGGUGUUCCAGUUGCCGUUGCAGAAGAGGUUCCCGGUACACUGUAAGAGCACUGUGGAAAGCAAGUUGUUUCUCAGUUUCCCAAAGAGCUGGAAGCAAGACAGUUUGUGGUUUGUCUCCUUUUGAGGGAUGGAGGCCAUGCUUUGUGGCUUCCACCUCUAGAGCAAUGUAGGACACGGCUGAGAGCAGAAGUUCUAAUGUGGCGAGAUCAGGGCUGGAAAGAAAUUUUGUUUCACAGCCCUUUGUAGGAGAGGUUCCCGGUAGGCUGUAAGAGCACUGUGGAGAGCGAGUUGUUUCCCAGCUUCCCAAAGAGCUGCAAGCAAGACGGUUUGUGGCUUGUCUACCCUUGAGGGCUGGAGGCCGUGUCUUGUGCCUUCUACCUCUAGAGCAAUGUAGGGCACGGCUGACAGCGAAGUUGCCUUUCUUCCAUAGGUGCUUUCAGACAAUCUCUCCACCAGUGCACUGGGCCGGCAGGUUAAAAGCCUCUUGUCUGUCUCCUGGUAAGCAUGUGGACGCACAAUGAUGUGGGCCUCGGCCCCGUUGCUUAUGGGGAAGAUGUAGGCAUUUGGUCUGAGCAGCUUUGGCAAGAUGGAAAUGUGGCAGAAGCAGAAGUUCUAAAGCGGCGAGAUCAGGGCUGGAAAGAAACGGCAUUUCAGCUGCCUUUGUAGGAGAGGUUCCCGGUACGCUGUAAGAGAACUGUGGUAAGCAAGUUCUUUCUCAUUUUCCUAAAGAGCUGGAAGCAAGAAGGUUUGUGGCUUGUCUCCCCUUCAGGGACAGAAGCAGUGCUUUGUGCCUUCCAGCUCUCGAGGAAUGUAGGGCACGGCUGCGGGCAAAGGGGCCUUUCUGCUAUAGGUGCUUUAUGACACUGUCUCCACCAGUGAACAACGGUGGGUGGUUAAAAGACUCUUGUCUCUCUCCUCCUAAGCAUUUGGAAACACAAUCCUUCAGGCUUCGCCCAUGUUGCUUAAGGGGAAGAAGUAGACAUUUGUUGAGAGCAGGGUUCGCAAGAUGGAAAUGUG